GACUCCCGCCAUCUCGGCGUCUUUGCCGGCCUCGCGGCACCAGAAGUUCGGCUGGUCCAAAAGGAAGGAGUCCGAGAACUGGCUGAAGCCGAUGAACAGCGCCGGGAUCCAGCUAUCAUUCCUUGAGCACUGGAACACCUUUCCAUAGAUAUUACCUCACUUAAGUACCCUUCGCAGCUGUGAAGGAGGUACCAUUGCACCAUUUUGGAGACGAGGAAAGCAAGUUUUAAAGAUGGGAAAUGGAGGAAAAGCUUGAUUGUCCCCCAAGAGGCAACCUACUUUAAUGUAACUUCUCAACUUCUCUCUCCCUUUGGACAUUGCCAAAUCCCUCCUUAAUCUUCAAUGCCUUAAUUUUCAAUACUUAAAAUGUUGGCAGUAGUAUAUCCCACUCCAUCAAACAAGAGCCAGUGAACAGUACUGUUCAGCAGCUCCAGCCUGAGGCCACCCAGAGCACACCUAUGCUCAGACAAGCUGUCCCAGGAUCAGAGAGUUGGUGAAGAUAUCAGCACCUAAUCCAGGCCCUUCACCUGCUCACCUGGCUUCUGCUGCAAGGUCACUGCUCACCAGCAUGACAAGCCACGGCUAGCCCAUGGAUGUCUGUCUGGUGUCCACGCUCCACGGACACUGAGGCCAGCCCAGGGCCACCUCUGUCUUGCCCGGCUGGUCCACCAGGUUGAUGUGGCCACACCUGAGAUCCUGGACACAUGAGAUGUCCUCUGAAGGCAGAGCCUGCCAGGCUUUUGUGCGGGAAGGUGACUUUGGAAAGCAAUGCCAAGGAAUGGGAGUGGCAGAGAGGGAAGGGUCAACAGUGCAGGGAUAAUAGCACCUGACCACUGACAGCCUGAGUGGGAUUCAUGGGCCUGAGGAUGCAGCAGGUUGAAUUCGUCUGUGCCCUGAGGCGGAUGCUGCUGGGACCCUGCGGUGCAGAGGUUACUGAUGAGUCCAAGUAUAGACCCAGGAAGAAUGUCAAACCAGCCUGUACCCAACGUGGGGUGACAAGAAUUCAGAGUGUAUCAAAAAGAGGAAAAGGGUGUCAUGUCAAGUGGAAAGAAGUUGGGGUAGCUGCUCAGGAUGGCAGUACCAUGGAGGUCAGGUUACCAGCAGGGCUUGCAUUCCCAGCAGAGGGAGAAGAUGAUGGGGAUGACAAACAAGGACCACCCACACUUGUGAAUGGACACUACUCAGCUUUGAAGAUGCCACUUUCUCCUGGUCCUGGCUAGGACUAGUUGUGUUCACUUUUAUGAACCUUUUGUUCUGUUGCAAACAUAACAUCUUGAGUCAUACUUAAAGGUCAUCAAAGACAAGACAGGACAAAAUCAGAGCUAAGGGAACUAACCCAGAUAUAGAGAUGGCUUCAAAGUUCACUAAGGGUAGAAGACCAACAGCCAAAUCUCAACUUCUGCGGUGGACCAGGGGACAGAACCUUUAUGAGCAGGUGUGGUUGUUCAAGGGCUCUUCUCUCCCAAUGGCUUUCCUGUUAUGUACAGUCUUGCUGAGAAAGGACAGAGAGGAAUCUAGAAUCAGCCUGCAAGUGAUGUCAUGUUAAUGCCCUCCAUGGUGACAAAAUUCAUCCUUCGAAGAUUUAUUUCAUUUUUUGAAAUAAUCAAAAGUCAUUUGGAAUGGAGAUAUUUCUGGUCAAUGAGGUCUGACUCUGGAUACCACUCCAUUUCAAGAUCACACUGUUUUCAUUAUGGGAGGGGCCACCACCUUUCCCCAGAGCACAGGGAAGGAGUAAGAUGACC